UACGUAGGGUCCGAGCGUUGUCCGGAAUUAUUGGGCGUAAAGAGCUCGUAGGCGGUUUGUCGCGUCUGCUGUGAAAACUGGGGGCUCAACCCCCAGCCUGCAGUGGGUACGGGCAGACUAGAGUGCGGUAGGGGAGAUUGGAAUUCCUGGUGUAGCGGUGGAAUGCGCAGAUAUCAGGAGGAACACCAAUGGCGAAGGCAGAUCUCUGGGCCGUAACUGACGCUGAGGAGCGAAAGCAUGGGGAGCGAACAGG
rnacentral:rRNA from 1 species